GAAAUUAACUCUAAGUCUCGACUGACUCCUGCUGUAAUGUGGAGACGCCCUGUGAAUACUUUCCAGUUCUGCUGGUUAUUUUCUGCGCUGCUGAGUUUUUGCUCAUUCGUUCCGUAUUUCUGUCCUCCGGUACCGGUUCUGACCCGCCGUUCCUCUCCAGGUUGUUCCGCUUCUCCUCCUGCCUCCUUUCUCCCAACUCGUCAGUUUUCCUCAGCGAGACGUAAGAGCGGUUUCUCCGUCAGCUUCCCGUGAGCCGCAUUGUUCAGCUGAAGCCGUCAGCCGCUGAACGGACCCCGCUGUGCCGACCGAACCUUCGUUUUGUAACCCGGCUGAAAGGAAAUGUCGGGUGUGAAUCCGCCGCAGCGCUAGGACGGUUUCCAUGCUAAGCCUCUGUAGCUGAUAAUCCUGAUGUUUUUUUCCCAGAAUUCUGAGCUUUGAUUGCAGAAGAUUGGAGUCGGAAUGACUCUGGUAAAUACUAAAAGAAAAACCAGCUUUUUUUCUUCUGUGGUCCAAAUCCUCUUCUGCUUAAAACUGCCUUCGUUUGAUUAAUAAGAUAUUAUUUAAUUUAUUUUCAAGGUCCAUUUUUUGAUGGGCCACAUUAAGACUUUACGGCGGGCCGGAUUUGGCCCGUGGGCCUCGAGUUUGGCAGACCUGCGCUCUGUGAACAUAAGAGCUCUCACUUUGUCCCAAACCUUGGAAAACGUUGCUGUAAACAAAAAGCACCUUUCAAUGGGCGUAAAAAGCCAUUAGCAGCUAUUUCCCAUGAUUCAGUGCUGCUGGCAGCCAGCCUCUUUCAUUUCAUCUCAAUCAAAAGCCACUUAUGUAUUUUAAUCCAUUUCUCUUCAUGAAUAUUCAGCAGCAGUUUUGUCGAGUCUCUUCCAGCUAAAUUAAAUCAGCAACAUAACUUUGAUAUUAAUAUUUCAUUUGAUGCUGAAAUAUGAGGAAAAAUCUGAAGUUAUUUACUUCUUUGGUUUAAUAAACAGAAAAUUCAUCAAAGUUUCUGUUUGACCCUCAAGGUUUUUGCUCCAGAAUUAAUAAAAUGUUGAUAGAAACUGUUUGGGGUUUUUUGUAAAUCUGCUCAGUCAGCAUUUCUUUUUCUUCUUUUUUAUCAGAAACUAGAGCUGACAGAAUAUAUCUUUUAACUUUCUGGUUAAUCUUUCCGAAUAAUUUUCUUUAGUGAUUUUGUUUUGUAUGGAUUAGGGCU